rnacentral:rRNA from 1 species
UACGUAGGGUGCGAGCGUUAAUCGGAAUUACUGGGCGUAAAGCGUGCGCAGGCGGUUUUGUAAGCCAGAUGUGAAAGCCCCGGGCUUAACCUGGGAAUGGCAUUUGGGACUGCAAGGCUUGAGUGCGGCAGAGGAGACUGGAAUUCCUGGUGUAGCAGUGAAAUGCGUAGAUAUUGGGAAGAACACCGGUGGCGAAGGCGGCGACCUGGUCCGUGACUGACGCUGAGGCGCGAAAGCGUGGGGAGCAAACAGG